GAACGCACCUUGCACCCUUUGGCAUUCCGAAGGGUAUGCUCGUUUGAGUGUCAUUGUACUCUCACUCUCCCGAUACUUUUGGAUCGGGAGUGGUGGACUUGGGUGCUGCUGCUUAACUGUGGCUCGCCUCAAAUGAAGUAGUGCAACUCUCGGUUGGACAUAGUACGGCGUGAUAAGUAUCUUCGCCGGCGCCUCAUUCGAGGGUGGCCGAUCGGGAGCUCUGUGCUUCAAACCGUCUUCGGACAAUAUCUGACAACUUGACCUCAAAUCGAGUAGGACUACCCGCUGAACUUAAG
rnacentral:misc_RNA from 1 species